GAGAGUGGCGGACUGGUGAGUAACACGUGGGUGACAUACCUUUCAGACGGGGAUAGCCUUUAGAAAUAAGGGGUAAUACCGGAUACGACCGUAUAUGUCAGAGGUAUACGGGGAAAGGAGCUGCGGCUCCGCUGAAAGAAUGGCUUGCGGCCCAUUUAGCUGGUUGGUGAGGUAACGGCCCACCAAGGCGAUGAUGGGUAUCCGGCCUGAGAGGGUGAACGGACACAUUGGGACUGAGAUACGGCCCAGACUCCUACGGGAGGCAGCAGCUAAGAAUAUUCCGCAAUGGACGGAAGUCUGACGGAGCGACACCGCGUGAAUGAAGAAGGCCGGAAGGUUGUAAAGUGCUUUUGAAUAUGAGGAAUAAGCAUGUCAGGGAAUGGGCGUGCGGUGACAGUAGUAUUUGAAUAAGAGGCGGCUAAUUACGUGCC
rnacentral:rRNA from 1 species